CCUACGGGUGGCUGCAGUGGGGAAUAUUGCACAAUGGGCGCAAGCCUGAUGCAGCCAUGCCGCGUGUGUGAAGAAGGCCUUCGGGUUGUAAAGCACUUUCAGCGGGGAGGAAGGCGGUGAGGUUAAUAACCUCAUCGAUUGACGUUACCCGCAGAAGAAGCACCGGCUAACUCCGUGCCAGCAGCCGCGGUAAUACGGAGGGUGCAAGCGUCAAUCGGAAUUACUGGGCGUAAAGCGCACGCAGGCGGUCUGUCAAGUCGGAUGUGAAAUCCCCGGGCUCAACCUGGGAACUGCAUUCGAAACUGGCAGGCUAGAGUCUUGUAGAGGGGGGUAGAAUUCCAGGUGUAGCGGUGAAAUGCGUAGAGAUCUGGAGGAAUACCGGUGGCGAAGGCGGCCCCCUGGACAAAGACUGACGCUCAGGUGCGAAAGCGUGGGGAGCAAACAGGAUUAGAUACCCGGGUAGUC
rnacentral:rRNA from 1 species